CCUAGGGUACGCUGAUACAUGCAGUGGAACGAUACCAGAGAGCUUGCUUUCUGGGAAGUGGCGCACGGGUGAGUAACGCGUAUGCAACCUACCUUAAUCAGGGGGAUAGCCUCUCGAAAGAGAGAUUAACACCGCAUAAGAUCACAAGCUGGCAUCAGCAAAUGAUCAAAUAUUUAUAGGAUUAAGAUGGGCAUGCGUGACAUUAGCUAGUUGGUAAGGUAACGGCUUACCAAGGCUACGAUGUCUAGGGGAUCUGAGAGGAUGACCCCCCACACUGGUACUGAGACACGGACCAAACUCAUACGGGAGGCAGCAGUAAGGAAUAUUGGUCAAUGGGGGCAACCCUGAACCAGCCAUGCCGCGUGCAGGAAGACGGCCCUACGGGUUGUAAACUGCUUUUAUACGGGAAUAAACCUCUUUACGUGUAGAGAGUUGAAUGUACUGUAAGAAUAAGGAUCGGCUAACUCCGUGCCAGCAGCCGCGGUAAUACGGGGGGUCCAAGCGUUAUCCGGAUUUAUUGGGUUUAAAGGGUGCGUAGGCGGCCUAUUAAGUCAGGGGUGAAAGACGGUAGCUCAACCAUCGCAGUGCCUUUGAUACUGAUAGGCUUGAUCACACUUGAGGUAGGCGGGAUGUGACAAGUAGCGGUGAAAUGCAUAGAUAUGUCACAGAACACCAGUUGCGAAGGCAGCUUACUAAGGUGUUAGUGACGCUGAGGCACGAAAGCGUGGGGAUCAAACAGGAUUAGAUACCCUGGUAGUCCACGCCCUAAACGAUGAAUACUCGAUGUUAGCGAUAUACAGUUAGCGUCAAAGCGAAAGCGUUAAGUAUUCCACCUGGGGAGUACGCCCGCAAGGGUGAAACUCAAAGGAAUUGACGGGGGCCCGCACAAGCGGAGGAGCAUGUGGUUUAAUUCGAUGAUACGCGAGGAACCUUACCCGGGCUUGAAAGUUACUGAAGUAUCCAGAGGUGAAUGCGUCCGCAAGGACAGGAAACUAGGUGCUGCAUGGCUGUCGUCAGCUCGUGCCGCGAGGUGUUGGGUUAAGUCCCGCAACGAGCGCAACCCCUAUGUUUAGUUGCCAGCAUGUUAAGGUGGGGA
rnacentral:rRNA from 2 species